GAUGAACGCUAGCGGGAGGCCUAACACAUGCGAGCCGAGCGGUAUUUGUUCUUCGGAACAGAGAGAGCGGCGCACGGGUGCGGAACACGUGUGCAACCUGCCUUUAUCUGGGGGAUAGCCUUUCGAAAGGAAGAUUAAUACCCCAUACUAUAUUGAGUGGCAUCCUUUGAUAUUGAAAACUCCGGUGGAUAGAGAUGGGCACGCGCAAGAUUAGAUAGUUGGUGAGGUAACGGCUCACCAAGUCAAUGAUCUUUAGGGGGCCUGAGAGGGUGAUCCCCCACACUGGUACUGAGACACGGACCAGACUCCUACGGGAGGCAGCAGUGAGGAAUAUUGGACAAGGGGUUAGCGCCGGAUCCAGCCAUCCCGCGUGAAGGACGUCGGCCCUAUGGGUUGUAAACUUCUUGUGUAUAGGGAGAAACCUACUCUCGUGAGAGUAGCUGAAGGUACUAUACGAAUAAGCACCGGCUAACUCCGUG
rnacentral:rRNA from 1 species